GGGCCUCGCAACUAUGGUGGAUACGGGCGCAACUAUGGUGGAUACGGCCGCAACUAUGGUGGAUACGGCCGCAACUAUGGUGGACACGGCCGCUAUGGUGGACAGGGUUACAGAGGAAGUUAUUACGGCUAGAAGAUUUGAUAUCGACACUAUACGUAGAUGCUCGAGUACAGACAUGACUCAUGGAAUUCCGUUCAAAAUAGAGAAUGCUGAUGAUAGUGUAAAUAUUUUACAAUUUUACCGUCAUUCCAUAAGCAAUAUAUAGUAAGCGCUGAGAACAAAAUGUUCACAUCUCACCCCCAUAUCGGGACAAAGCGUGAAAUUCUACCAAUAAUUUGUAGAAUUUAUAUAAAUACCUGAAUGUAGAAUUAGCUUAAUAUAAACAUUGGCUCAAAUAAAUUCCUAAAACGUUUAUCGAAAAGCAA